GUUGAUGAUUCUAUUUAUCAAAAAAAGCAAGCGUCGUAGCACAUGGAUCGCGAGGACACACACGCAUAUAUAUAUUAAUUUCUGUAUCAUUCCAUUAACAGUUGCAAAUAACUUAUCAUGAUCAUAAACUAGUUUCAACACUUCACAAACACAUCAUCAUCCUUGUUUUCAUUAAACCACGUAUCCGAUCUUACGUAAAAGGGUCGAUUGCGUAAAGUAGGAGUGAACGCAAGAUGUAUCACGAAGUGAACGAGAUUAAGUAAAAAAAAGAAAUAAGAAAAAAAAAUUAUGAAAGAAAACAUUUAUGAGUCAAAGAAAGAGAGAAAAAAAAAAAAAAACUGUUAGUCAUGAAGCGAACAUUGAAGAAAUGGAUAGCGAAAAUGGAGAAUAACAAUGCCAAAAAGGUGAAUUCUU